UAAAUUACCCAAUCCUAAUUCAGGGAGGUAGUGACAAGAAAUAACAACCCGGGUCCUUACGGACUUUGGGAUUGCAAUGAGCACAAUUUAAAUCUCUUAGCAAGGAACAAUUGGAGGGCAAGUCUGGUGCCAGCAGCCGCGGUAAUUCCAGCUCCAAUAGCGUAUAUUAAAGUUGUUGCAGUUAAAAAGCUCGUAGUUGAACUUCUGGGCGUUUGUACAGCGGCUUCGGUCGAGGUAGAAGCGUUCAUCCGUCUGAGAACCAUAUACGGCCUUUAGUGGUCGGUGUGAGGAUCAGGCACUUUACUUUGAAAAAAUUAGAGUGUUCCAGGCAGGCAAUCGCCUUGAAUACACAAGCAUGGAAUAAUGGAAUAGGACUAUGGUCCAUUUUGUUGGUUAUUGGGCUAUAGUAAUGAUUAAAAGGAACGGCCGGGGUGAUUUGUAUUUAAUAGUCAGAGGUGAAAUUCUUGGAUUUAUUAAAGACAAACUAAAGCGAACGCUUUUCACAAGAGCGUUUUCAUUAAUCAAGAACGAAAGUUAGGGGAUCAAAGACGAUCAGAUACCGUCCUAGUCUUAACCAUAAACUAUUCCGACUAGGGAUUGGUCGGGUCUCUCAAGCCCGAUCAGCACCUUAUGAGAAAUCAAAGUCUUUGGGUUCCGGGGGGAGUAUGGUCGCAAGGCUGAAACUUAAAGGAAUUGACGGAAGGGCACCACCAGGAGUGGAGCCUGCGGCUUAAUUUGACUCAACACGGGGAAACUCACCAGCGCAAAACAUGGGUGGGAUUGAC
rnacentral:rRNA from 1 species